rnacentral:rRNA from 1 species
AGUUUGACCUCGGAUCAGGUAGGCAUACCCGCUGAACUAAAGCAUAUCAAUAAG